CGAACGGGUGAGUAAUGCGUGACCAACCUGCCCCAUGCUCCAGAAUAGCUCUUGGAAACGGGUGGUAAUGCUGGAUGCUCCAACUUGACGCAUGUCUUGUUGGGAAAGUGUUUAGUGGCAUGGGAUGGGGUCGCGUCCUAUCAGCUUGUAGGCGGGGUAAUGGCCCACCUAGGCUUCGACGGGUAGCCGGCCUGAGAGGGCGGACGGCCACAUUGGGACUGAGAUACGGCCCAGACUCCUACGGAGGCAGCAGAC
rnacentral:rRNA from 1 species